rnacentral:lncRNA from 1 species
AUGUGUAUUCAGGGAUCCUUCAGGAAUGUCCCAGGGGCUUUCCCAUUUCAGAUUCCAGAAUCCCGGAUAGCAUCCCCAGACUCCUCCAGGGAAGCUUCCCGAGACCAUUUUCUCAUUUGGAAGGAUUUUUUUUUCUGGGGGAAUCGCCCCCCUUGCUCCUCACGGCCACCUCCCAGGCUCUUUCCGCCAGCUGCCUUUUUGUCCCCCGAGGCGUGCCGGUGGCAUUCCCAAACUUCCCGGGGCACGGCGUGGCAGGAGCAGCGGGGACAGGGCGGGGCUCGUCCCCGGUGCCCUCCGGCAGCCCCGCUCCUCGCCGGGGGCACGGGGGUGGCACGGGGUGACUCUGUGGCUGUCCCGCCGUGCCCCUUCCCCCUGGCACCAAUCCCCUCGCUCCCAAUCCUCGCUGCCCUCGCCCCCGGGGCCGGCUGUAUUUUUAGCCCUUGGCUGCCGCCCCGCCUCGGGGGUCUUGCCAGGGCAGCGGGAGGGUCCGAGCCGGCCCGGGCCGGGCUCCGCGGGGCUCCGCGGGGCAGGCAGGGGUGUUGGAGCAGAUUAGGUGGAGGUGGCUGGAUUAGCCCCGUAAAACUGCCUGCGAGACGAUUACUUAAAGCAGCGGGGAAGGAAGGCUGGGUGGGGACAGCGAGGGCCAGGGGGCUGCCUGUAAUCCCCCUAAAGCCGCUUAGGCAGCGCGGUUCCUCCAAGGAUACGGCCCCGGGGAGCCGGCUGAGGCCACCAGGGGGUCAAACGUGGGGGGCUCUUGCAUGUCGGGGUGCUCCCAGGUGGGUUGACAGCGGCGUCGGAGCCUCCCUGUUCCGUCCCCAGGUGGGUUGCGGGGUCAGGGAUCCCAGCUUGGGGAAACUGAGGCACGAUGCCAGCGCCUUCCGAGGUGGGGAAGGAUGGAACUCCUCGUUCCUGGGAAGGAACAGGGAGUUUUGGGGUGCUGCUUUGGUAGAUCCGUGUGUCCCCCCGGGGGCUGAAAGCCGAGGAGGAGCCGGGCGGGGUGGCACAGCCCGUCCCCCCCGGGGCCGAGGCAGCUGCGGCGGUGCCAGCGCUGGUCGCAGCUGUGUCAGCGCACGGGCCGGUGCCAGGCUGCAUCAGCAGAGCCCUGAUCCC